GAUGAACGCUAGCGGCAGGCCCAAUACAUGCAAGUCGAACGGUGUAGCAAUACACAGUGGCGCACGGGUGCGUAACACGUAUGCAACCUACCUUACAUUGGGGGAUAGCCUUUCGAAAGGGAGAUUAAUACCGCAUAAGACAGUAACUAGGCAUCUAGUAGCUGUUAAAGAUUUAUCGAUGUAAGCUGGGCAUGCGUCCAAUUAGUUAGUUGGCGAGGUAAUGGCUCACCAAGACGAUGAUUGGUAGGGGAACUGAGAGGUCAAUCCCCCACACUGGCACUGAGAUACGGGCCAGACUCCUACGGGAGGCAGCAGUAGGGAAUAUUGGGCAAUGGGCGCAAGCCUGACCCAGCCAUGCCGCGUGCAGGAGGAAGGCGUUAUGCGUUGUAAACUGCUUUUAUACAGGAAGAAACGACCCUUGCGAGGGGCAUUGACGGUACUGUAUGAAUAAGCACCGGCUAACUCCGUGCCAGCCGCCGCAGUAACAC
rnacentral:rRNA from 1 species